CACGUUUGGUUACUCUUUAUUCCAGGCGUUUUUUGUAAAGAUGGUACAAUUUUAAAGUAACACACACGCAACCACGCAUGUUGGGGUGCUUCCGUUUACCCUGCCUGUAAAGUCCUCGACCAUUAAACAUCUGGUCAUCGAUUGAGCGACGGUCAGGUCAAUGGCCCCUUUGAGUCACCUUACUGAUCUAACCAGCUCAAUAGCGCCAUCCACUGGAUAACUCUUCAGUGGUCCCUGGGCAAAGGAACCCGUGCUCUGUGCUCCGGCCUACACCUAGUAGCCACACAGGGUCGGUGAGCAGGACACCCACAGAGCUACGUCACGGCCAUGCUGACAAGACGCAGCCAGACAAGGAGACUAUACCUUCAUUUGGGUUCCUGUCCUCCUACACCUCCUCCUCUCCUUAAACCGGCUCCUGCUGCCUGUCAUUG
ensembl:lncRNA